UCAAAUGACGGACUGGAAUGGGAUUAGAUCGGAGGCUUUGGGAAAGGGUAUAGUUCCAGAGGCAUUCCGGACCGAAGCCAACUCCAGAACAACUGAGGGACAGACGAUGGGAUUAAGAACCACUCGUCAAGAGGAGCACUACACCUGCAACGCUGACACUUCCGAUGUUGCUGAUAUUUAUGGUGUCCAUGGCGAUUACAGAGUGUCACAAACAACUACAAUGGACACAAGAACAUAUGCAGAAAAUUAAAGAAGAGCGUGAUCCCUUUGGAAGCUGGCUGGACGGACUGUUUGGGGGAACGGGUUCAUGGUUAAAGCAAUUGCUUAAAGCUCUCGCAGUAGGAUUUGCAAUCUUUGUGUGUAUUCUAAUCUGUCUUCCAUGCUUUGUAGGAUGCUUGCAGAACUGCCUUCAACGAAUGAUGGACAAGACUUUUGACUAUCACAUUGAGUAUCAUAGAUUGCGUGAAAAAUUAUAGAGGGGUUUAGGUUGUUGCGUUCGUGCUGUAAUGGGGCAAGGCUUGGCCGAGCACGGAAAAGAAUUCCCUGUUGCUCUGAUGAUUGCUUAAGAACUGUAGUAGAAAAUAGUAGGAAUAGUGUGCUGAAAUAUAUUUAGGAUUAGGCGUUUUGCGCUGCUUCGCGAUGUACGGGUUAGGUGUGUGUGUAAGUAGUAUUUAGCUUAGGGAGGGGGAGAUGUUGUAGUAGGCGUCUUGCGGGGGCACGGGAUGUACGGGACAGGCCUCUCCCUAAACAUAGAGAGAUAGUGCUAUCGUGCUGACCUUGUUGCAGAGAAAACAGGAGAAGAAGAAGGAUGAUAAAAGAAUGUGGAAACGGCCAAAUAAGGCACAAUGUUAUCUGGUGUGAACUAAUCAGAGUGGGACAUGACAGCACGGUUAUCUAGGUAAAAUGUAUAUAAGCUGUGUUUAGUAGUGAAUAAACGCCAUUUGCCUCACUU
ensembl:lncRNA